rnacentral:rRNA from 1 species
AGAGUUUGAUCAUGGCUCAAAUUGAACGCUGGCGGCAUGCCUUACACAUGCAAGUCGAACGGUAACAGGCCGCAGGGUGCUGACGAGUGGCGAACGGGUGAGUAAUGCAUCGGAACGUGCCCAGUAGUGGGGGAUAGCCCGGCGAAAGCCGGAUUAAUACCGCAUACGACCUGAGGGUGAAGGGGGGGGAUCGCAAGACCUCUCGCUAUUGGAGCGGCCGAUGUCAUAUUAGCUAGUUGGUGGGGUAAAGGCCUACCAAGGCAACGAUCUGUAGUUGGUCUGAGAGGACGACCACCCACACUGGGACUGAGACACGGCCCACACUCCUACGGGAGGCAGCAGUGGGGAAUUUUGGACAAUGGGCGCAAGCCUGAUCCAGCAAUGCCGCGUGCAAGAAGAAGGCCUUCGGGUUGUAAUCUUCUUUUGUCAGAGAAAAAAUCUUCUGGGUUAAUACCUCGGGAGGAUGACGGUACCUGAAGAAUAAGCACCGGCUAACUACGUGCCAGCAGCCGCGGUAAUACGUAGGGUGCGAGCGUUAAUCGGAAUUACUGGGCGUAAAGCGUGCGCAGGCGGCUUUGCAAGACAGAGGUGAAAUCCCCGGGCUCAACCUGAGAACUGCCUUUUGUGACUGCAAGCUAGAGUACGGAGAAGGGGGGAAUGGAAUCUCCGCCGUGGUACCAGUUGAAAUGCGUAAAUUUUGGCGGGAGGACCCCCGAUUGGCCGAAGGCCAUCCCCUGGGGUCUUGUACUGACGCUCAUGCACGAAAGCGGUGGAGAAGCAAACAGAAUAAGAUACCGCUGUAGUCCACGCCCUAACGAUGUCAGCUGUGUUUGUUGAACCGCCUUGCCUGUUCAGUACCGAGCUAACGCGAUGAGUGACCCGGCUGAGGAGUCACCGGCCGCUAAGGAUCACUCGAGGAAUUGACGGACCGCAAUCGUG